ACCUUACCUGGCCUUGACAUCCACGGAACUUUCCAGAGAUGGAUUGGUGCCUUUGGGAACCGUGAGACAGGUGGUGCAUGGCUGUUGUCAGCUCGUGUCGUGAGAUGUUGGGUUAAGUCCCGCAACGAGCGCAACCCUUGUCCUUAGUUGCCAGCACGUGAUGGUGGGAACUUUAAGGAGACCGCCGGUGACAAACCGGAGGAAGGUGGGGAUGACGUCAAGUCAUCAUGGCCCUUACGGCCAGGGGUACACACGU
rnacentral:rRNA from 1 species